rnacentral:pre_miRNA from 1 species
GUCUCGGUGUUCAGUUUGAAGGAAGUUGCUAGGUAGCUUUAGCGCAAUAACUGGAAGUCUAUUAGACUUUGUCAUUGCGCUAAAGCUACCUAGCAACUUCCUUCAAACUGAACAC